AGAGUUCGAUCCUGGCUCAGGAUGAACGCUGGCGGCGCGCCUAACACAUGCAAGUCGAACGGCACCCACCUCCGGGUGGAAGCGAGUGGCGAACGGCUGAGUAACACGUGGAGAACCUGCCCCCUCCCCCGGGAUAGCCGCCCGAAAGGACGGGUAAUACCGGAUACCCCGGGGUGCCGCAUGGCACCCCGGCUAAAGCCCCGACGGGAGGGGAUGGCUCCGCGGCCCAUCAGGUAGACGGCGGGGUGACGGCCCACCGUGCCGACAACGGGUAGCCGGGUUGAGAGACCGACCGGCCAGAUUGGGACUGAGACACGGCCCAGACUCCUACGGGAGGCAGCAGUGGGGAAUCUUGCGCAAUGGGGGGAACCCUGACGCAGCGACGCCGCGUGCGGGACGGAGGCCUUCGGGUCGUAAACCGCUUUCAGCAGGGAAGAGUCAAGACUGUACCUGCAGAAGAAGCCCCGGCUAACUACGUGCCAGCAGCCGCGGUAAUACGUAGGGGGCGAGCGUUAUCCGGAUUCAUUGGGCGUAAAGCGCGCGUAGGCGGCCCGGCAGGCCGGGGGUCGAAGCGGGGGGCUCAACCCCCCGAAGCCCCCGGAACCUCCGCGGCUUGGGUCCGGUAGGGGAGGGUGGAACACCCGGUGUAGCGGUGGAAUGCGCAGAUAUCGGGUGGAACACCGGUGGCGAAGGCGGCCCUCUGGGCCGAGACCGACGCUGAGGCGCGAAAGCUGGGGGAGCGAACAGGAUUAGAUACCCUGGUAGUCCCAGCCGUAAACGAUGGACGCUAGGUGUGGGGGGACGAUCCCCCCGUGCCGCAGCCAACGCAUUAAGCGUCCCGCCUGGGGAGUACGGCCGCAAGGCUAAAACUCAAAGGAAUUGACGGGGGCCCGCACAAGCAGCGGAGCAUGUGGUUUAAUUCGAAGCAACGCGAAGAACCUUACCUAGACUUGACAUCUCCUGCAUUACCCUUAAUCGGGAAAGUUCCUUCGGGGACAGGAAGACAGGUGGUGCAUGGUUGUCGUCAGCUCGUGUCGUGAGAUGUUGGGUUAAGUCCCGCAACGAGCGCAACCCUUACCAUUAGUUGCUACGCAAGAGCACUCUAAUGGGACUGCCGUUGACAAAACGGAGGAAGGUGGGGAUGACGUCAAAUCAUCAUGCCCCUUAUGACCUGGGCUACACACGUGCUACAAUGGACAGAGCAGAGGGAAGCGAAGCCGCGAGGUGGAGCGAAACCCAUAAAACUGUUCUCAGUUCGGACUGCAGUCUGCAACUCGACUGCACGAAGAUGGAAUCGCUAGUAAUCGCGAAUCAGCAUGUCGCGGUGAAUACGUUCUCGGGCCUUGUACACACCGCCCGUCACACCAUGAGAGUCGGUAACACCCGAAGCCGGUGGCCUAACCGCAAGGAAGGAGCUGUCUAAGGUGGGACUGAUGAUUGGGGUGAAGUCGUAACAAGGUAUCCCUACGGGAACGUGGGGAUG
rnacentral:rRNA from 1 species